AACGAACGCUGGCGGCAGGCCUAACACAUGCAAGUCGAGCGGACCCUUCGGGGUUAGCGGCGGACGGGUGUGUAACGCGUGGGAACGUGCCCUUUGCUUCGGAAUAGCCCUGGGAAACUGGGAGUAAUACCGGAUACGCCCUUUUGGGGAAAGAUUUAUCGGCCAAGGAUCGGCCCGCGUUGGAUUAGGUUGUUGGUGGGGUAAUGGCCUACCAAGCCGCCGAUCCAUAGCUGGGUUGAGAGGAUGAUCAGCGACACUGGGACUGAGACACGGCCCAGACUCCUACGGGAGGCAGCAGUGGGGAAUCGUAGACAAUGGGGGAAACCCUGAUCUAGCCAUGCCGCGUGAGCGAUGAAGGCCUGAGGGUUGUAAAGCUCUUUCACCGGGGAAGAUAAUGACGGUACCCGGAGAAGAAGCCACGGCUAACUCCGUG
rnacentral:rRNA from 1 species